rnacentral:ncRNA from 2 species
UUUUCGCACUCUGGAGAGCGGCAGUAGCCAGCGGCAUAGGACAUCGUCGAUGCCAGGCAGGCUGCCCACCGAAGGGGCGCGCGUUUCGCCGUCACGGCUUGCAAAGGCUUGCAAACCCGCACGGCAGCGCAAUCUCUCAGGUAUCGAGGACAGAGGGGUCAUG